UACGAGGGGGGCGAGCGUUGUUCGGAAUUAUUGGGCGUAAAGGGUGCGUAGGCGGUUCUGCAAGUCCUGUGUGAAAUCUUCGGGCUCAACUCGAAGUCUGCACGGGAAACUGCGGGGCUUGAGUGUGGGAGAGGUGAGUGGAAUUCCCGGUGUAGCGGUGAAAUGCGUAGAUAUCGGGAGGAGCACCUGUGGCGAAAGCGGCUCACUGGACCAUAACUGACGCUGAUGCACGAAAGCUGGGGGAGCAAACAGG
rnacentral:rRNA from 1 species